rnacentral:rRNA from 1 species
UACGUAGGUGGCAAGCGUUGUCCGGAUUUACUGGGCGUAAAGAGCGCGCAGGCGGUCGUUCAAGUCGCGUGUGAAAGCCCCCGGCUCAACUGGGGAGGGUCACGCGAUACUGAUCGACUCGAAGGCAGGAGAGGGUAGUGGAAUUCCCGGGUGUAGUGGUGAAAUGCGUAGAUAUCUGGAGGAACACCGGUGGCGAAGGCGGCAGUCCUGGACCGGCAUUGACGCUGAGGAGCGAA